rnacentral:rRNA from 1 species
AUUCCGGUUGAUCCUGCCGGAGGACAUUGCUAUUGGGAUUCGAUUUAGCCAUGCUAGUCGAGCGAGUUUAGACUCGCGGCGCAUAGCUCAGUAACACGUGGCCAAGCUACCCUUCAGUCAGCGAUACCCUCGGGAAACUGAGGCUAAUAGCUGAUACGAAACACCAGCUGGAAUGCGGUGUUUACGAAAGAUACCGCUGAAGGAUGCGGCUGCGGCCGAUUAGGUAGACGGUGGGGUAACGGCCCACCGUGCCAGUAAUCGGUACGGGUGAUGAGAGUCAGAGCCCGGAGACGGAAUCUGAGACAAGAUUCCGGGCCCUAC